UCACUAACCGAAGAACCUUACCAGGGUUUGACAUCCUCUGACAUCCCAUGAAAGUGGGCUUUCCUCGCAAGAGGACAGAGAGACAGGUGUUGCAUGGUUGUCGUCAGCUCGUGUCGUGAGAUGUUGGGUUAAGUCCCGCAACGAGCGCAACCCUCAUCCAAUGUUGCCAGCGUUAAGUCGGGAACUCUUUGGAAACUGCCCAUGUAAGUGGGAGGAAGGUGGGGAUGACGUCAAAUCGGCAUGGCCCUUACAUCCUGGGCUUGACACAUGCUACAAUGGCCGUUAACAAAGCGAAGCAAGACCGCGAGGUGGAGCCAAUCGCAAAAAUACGGUCUCAGUUCGGAUUGCAGGCUGCAACUCGCCUGCAUGAAGUCGGAAUCGCUAGUAACCGCAGGUCAGCUAAACUGCGGUGAAUACGUUCCCGGGCCUUGUACACACUGCCCGUCAAGUCACCUGAGUUGUCUGCACCCGAAGUUGGUGGCUUAACCCGCAAGGGAGAGAGCCAACUAAGGUGUGGGGAGCGAGGGGGACUAAGUCGUAACAAGGUAAC
rnacentral:rRNA from 1 species